UAGCGUAUAUUAAAGUUGUUGCAGUUAAAACGCUCGUAGUCGGAUUUCAGGGCGUGCGAGCCGGUCUGCCGAUGGGUAUGCACUGGCGUUGCGCGUCCUUUCUUUCGGAGCCCUCCGCUGCUCUUAGCUGAGCGGUGGGGGGAGACGGAUCGUUUACUUUGAAAAAAUCAGAGUGUUUCAAGCAGGCAGCUCGCUCUUGCAUGGAUUAGCAUGGGAUAAUGAAAUAGGACUCUGGUGCUAUUUUGUUGGUUUCGAACACCGGAGUAAUGGUCAACAGGGACAGUCAGGGGCACUCGUAUUCCGCCGAGAGAGGUGAAAUUCUCAGACCAGCGGAAGACGAACCACUGCGAAAGCAUUUG
rnacentral:rRNA from 1 species